UACGAAGGGGGCUAGCGUUGCUCGGAUUUACUGGGCGUAAAGGGCGCGUAGGCGGACAUUUAAGUCGGGGGUGAAAGCCCGGGCUCAACCUCGGAAUUGCCUUCGAUACUGGAUGUCUUGAGUGUGAGAGAGGUGUGUGGAACUCCGAGUGUAGAGGUGAAAUUCGUAGAUAUUCGGAAGGAACACCAGUGGCGAAGGCGACACACUGGCUCACUACUG
rnacentral:rRNA from 1 species